ACCACGACCACAUCGAGCGCAUCCCUGGCUACGCGUUCGCGCACAUGAAGCCAGGCCUAGAGUUCCUGCACCUGUCCCACAACAGGCUGCAGGCUGACGGCAUCCACAGCGUGUCCUUCCUGGGCCUGCGCGCCUCGCUGGCGGAGCUGCUCCUGGAUCAUAACCAGGUGCAGGCCAUCCCACGCGGCCUCCUGGGCCUCAAGGGACUGCAGGUGCUGGGCCUGAGCCACAACAGGAUCAGACAAGUGCCCUUGAAUUCCAUCUGUGACAUGCGCGUGGCUCAGGACUCCAACCUUACCUCCACACACCUGGAGAACAACCUCAUUGACCGGCGCCGCAUCCCGCCCACUGCCUUCUCCUGCACCCGAGCCUAUCACAGCGUGGUCCUCCAGCCCCAGCGGCGGGGGGAGGAGGGCUCCUAGUCCUGCCUGCCGCCUUCCUCCAGCACACACUCUGCUUCUCGAGGGGGUGGAGGGGCAGGCUGAGGUGUGCUUGGCCUUUGCACCACUGGGAGAAAGGUCUAGAAGACCCCACUGCUUCCAGUGCACCCACUUCCCAUUGACUGGUGAGGCCGCUUCACUUAGCAAAUGGCCCAGGGGCGAAAGGUGGCACUGGUUUGUACUUGAACAUAAUAAAUGCAGCUUGGGCAGGCUCACCAGCCAGCCUCCCUCCCUCCAGGAGCUACGCUGCAUGUCCUGGC
ensembl:lncRNA novel transcript